AAUUUUGUAUUUCAGGUUAACUCCCACCCUGAAUUUUUUCUACCUACCUGCUUAUAGUUGAAACACUGUGUAAACAGUAAACCGUCGAGGUGCGCAUCUAAUUUACGGCAAGAAAGCAGGCGCUAUGUCUAUGCUCCUAAUCAGGCUUAGUGGCACACCCUAUACUUGCUUUUGAGGUACGUUUUUGUGAUUUGGCCAGCCGAUGUCACAGAAAUGUUGUGGAGCAGGUGACGUGCAUAUAAUCAUUUAAUACGACUUUCUGAAACACUCCGCUAUAAAUGUCUGCAUCCAAGCAGUUAUCACACUGGUUUCAGUUAAAUGGAUGUAUACACACGGUGCGCCACGUCAGCCCGACAAGCUUAUGUAGGUAGAAGACUGGACCGCUUUUGUGAGUUAUCACACCUUCAAAAAGCAAAACAAAAAAACAUCAAUGAGACUCGCAAGUAGUGUCCAGUAUUUCACAAGCCGGUUGAGAGGUGCGGACAUGUGCCAGAUGAAUGAAAUAAUCAGCGAAUAGUGCAUUCAAUAUUGCAUACUUACAGACGAGAGAAACAGUAAGUCGUAGGAUUUCCAGUUCAUAACCAAUUUUCAAAAAUGCAGCAGAGCUUCACCAAAUAAAUAUACAAAAACCAUAAUUUACCAAAAAAACAAGCGAUUCACGUGAACUUGUUGCCAUUUUUAAUGUAUGUACCUAUAUUUUUAA